CAGUCGCCGCGGGAAUACGAAGGGUGCAAGCGUUACUCGGAAUUACUGGGCGUAAAGCGUGCGUAGGUGGUGGUUUAAGUCCGUUGUGAAAGCCCUGGGCUCAACCUGGGAAUUGCAGUGGAUACUGGGUCACUAGAGUGUGGUAGAGGAUAGUGGAAUUUCCGGUGUAGCAGUGAAAUGCGUAGAGAUCGGAAGGAACAUCUGUGGCGAAGGCGACUAUCUGGGCCAACACUGACACUGAGGCACGAAAGCGUGGGGAGCAAACAGGAUUAGAUACUCCUGUAGUCCCUGUCUCUUAUAC
rnacentral:rRNA from 1 species